CUCCCUGGGAGUCACAGGUGUGCUUCAUGGCUGCAUUCCCAUGAAGAAAAUGAGUGGUUUUGCUGUAGUGAGCCUUUUCCUAAUGAAAGUCAGCCCUGCCCUCUGACUUCAUAUUUCAUUACGUGGUCUUAAUUUUUUUUUGCUCAGUCUUUAAAGUAAUGAACUUCUCUUUUUUGCAGAUCUCUGUCAUCUCCUGCUGGUGCUCCCUGGAGAAUAGAUGGUCAAAAAGUGAACUGGUUUUCUGGUUGCAAAUCACAUCCAAUUCUUGAGUCCAUGGACUGCCCACACAGCCUUUGCUGUUGCUUCAAACAAGCAGCUCUAAAUUGUCGAUAAAUGCAGUAAACAACAGGCUGCUUUCUCUCAGAAGAAGUUAUAUGAAGUUGUCAUCCAUUUGACGGGAAGAAAGCUAAUUUCUCAGUUACAGACCUGCAGUAGUGGAAAAGUGAACUGCAGUUUGGUCUUUUCACUCUCAUGGCAGAGUAAGAAGGAAUGAGAGCUCCUUCCCUAGGCCCUGUAUCUCCUCCAAGCCCACAGACUGGCUCUGCACAUGGGAAAAUGUGCAAGUGCUGUCUCCUCCACUUCCAAAGCAGAAGAAUUAACUCAGCUGAGGAUGUCCAGGAAAAAGGACCCAUCUACCACCAGAUCCUGAGGUAGCUGAGUUAUAACAGGUCAUUGCCAGAGGAGGAAGGUCCCUGGAGUAGAAAAUGCAGGAGAAGGAAAAAUAAAAUAAGAAAAAAAGUGUUUAAAGGGGAGACUUUGCAGACAGAAGCAACCUGUGUGCAAGGCCCUGCCUAUGAAUGGGGAUUACUUCUGCUUCCUAAAAGUUUUCUAGGUGUCAGACAAUCCUGGAUCCAAGAAUCUCCAAUCACGUUUCUCUGAAACUCUGGUUUCCCUGAAACUUUUAGUUACACUGUGAAGUUACUGGAUACAUGUUCUGUUCAAGUAACUGUACAUAAACUUGACAUGGAGAUAAGCUGAGACCUCAUGGCAGAAAUCUCAUUUGAAACAACUGGAAAUUACUUCAGCUUGGCUCAAGCCACAGCACAACAGAUACCUUCUCCUCCUCCAGCCCUGCUGUGAGUCAAAGGCAUUUUCUGGGCUGCCACUUUCCUGUGCUGAAUGACCUUGAGCCUCUUCAUGUUGCCCCGUCUUUGCUUGGCUCAGCAUGUGCAUCCCUUGCUCUUUAUAAAUACGCCUGCGUGCUCGCCUUUGCUGACUUCCUUCUUCUCCACAGCUGAAGGUAUUGGCUCUUUGUCAGGCUUUGAGACUCACAUGUUUUAGUUCAUAAAUGCCUAUAGCAAUUCUCCAUGCUUUUGAU